UUUGGCGUUAGGGUUAAAAUCACUGUCCAAAACCUUUGUAGGAACUCUUUUCCAACCUUUUGGAGUUAGUUAGACCAAAAAAUAUGAAAAAAGAAAAAAAUAUUUGGGGUGUUCAGGCUUCCUGAAGGUAAUACCCGGGUAUUAGAUUUCAAGGCUAGGGUAAGGUUUAAGGUUUUUGGCGUUAGGGUUAAAAUCACUGUCCAAAACCUUUGUAGGAACUCUUUUCCAACCUUUUGGAGUUGGUUACACCAAAAAAAAUGUAAAAUGAAAAAAAAAUAUUUGGGGUGUUCGGGCUUCCUGAAAGUAAUACCCGGGUAUUAGGUUUUGGGGCUAUGGUAAGGUUUAAGUUUUUGGCGUUAGGGUUAAAAUCACUGUCCAAAACCUUUGUAGGAACUCUUUUCCAACCUUUUGGAGUUAGUUAGACCAAAAAAAAAAAGAAAAAUGAAAAAAAAAUAUUUGGGGUGUUCAGGCUUCCUAAAAGUAAUACCUGGGUAUUAGGUUAUGGGGCUAUGGUAAGGUUUAAGGUUUUUGGCGUUAGGGUUAAAAUCACUGUCCAAAACCUUUGUAGGAACUCUUUUCCAACCUUUUGGAGUUAGUUAGACCAAAAAAAAAUGAAAAAUGAAAAAACAAUAUUUGGGGUUUUCGGGGUUCCUGAAUGUAAUACCCGGGUAUUAGAUUUUAAGGCUAGGGUAAGGUUUAAGUUUUUUGGCAUUAGGGUUAAAAUCACUGUCCAAAACCUUUGUAGGAACUCUUUUCCAACCUUUUGGAGUUGGUUACACCAAAAAAAAUGUAAAAUGAAAAAAAAAUAUUUGGGGUGUUCGGGCUUCCUGAAAGUAAUACCCAGGUAUUAUUUUAAGGCCAGGGUAAGGUUUAAGUUUUUUGGCGUUAGGGUUAAAAUCACUGUCCAAAACCUUUGUAGGAACACUUUUCCAACCUUUUGGAGUUGGUUAGACCAAAAAAAAAAGAAAAAUGAAAAAAAAAUAUUUGGGGUGUUCAGGCUUCCUAAAAGUAAUACCCAGGUAUUAGGUUAUGGGGCUAUGGUAAGGUUUAAGUUUUUUGGCGUUAGGGUUAAAAUCACUGUCCAAAACCUUUGUAGGAACUCUUUUCCAACCUUUUGGAGUUAGUUAGACCAAAAAAAAAUGAAAAAUUAAAAAACAAUAUUUGGGGUUUUCGGGGUUCCUGAAUGUAAUACCCGGGUAUUAGAUUUUGAGGCUAGGGUAAGGUUUAAGUUUUUUGGCAUUAGGGUUAAAAUCACUGUCCAAAACCUUUGUAGGAACUCUUUUCCAACCUUUUGGAGUUAGUUAGACCAACAAAAAUGUAAGAUGAAGAAAAAAAUAUUUUGGGUGUUCAGGCUUCCUGAAGGUAAUACCCGGGUAUUAGAUUUCAAGGCUAGGGUAAGGUUUAAGGUUUUUUGGCGUUAGGGUUAAAAUCACUGUCCAAAACCUUUGUAGGAACUCUUUUCCAACCUUUUGGAGUUGGUUACACCAACAAAAAUGUAAAAUGAAAAAAAAUAUAUUUGGGGUGUUCGGGCUUCCUGAAGGUAAUACCCGGGUAUUAGGUUUUGGGACUAGGGUAAGGUUUAAGGUUUUUGGCGUUAGGGUUAAAAUCACUGUCCAAAACCUUUGUAGGAACUCUUUUCCAACCUUUUGGAGUUGGUUACAACAACAAAAAUGUAAAAUGAAAAACAAAUAUUUGGGGUGUUCGGGCUUCCUGAAGGUAAUACCCGGGUAUUAGGUUUUGGGACUGGGGAAAGGUUUAAGGUUUUUGGCGUUAGGGUUAAAAUCACUGUCCAAAACCUUUGUAGGAACUCUUUUCCAACCUUUUGGAGUUAGUUAGACCAAAAAAUAUGAAAAAAGAAAAAAAUAUUUGGGGUGUUCAGGCUUCCUGAAGGUAAUACCCGGGUAUUAGAUUUCAAGGCUAGGGUAAGGUUUAAGGUUUUUGGCGUUAGGGUUAAAAUCACUGUCCAAAACCUUUGUAGGAACUCUUUUCCAACCUUUUGGAGUUGGUUACACCAAAAAAAAAUGUAAAAUGAAAAAAAAAAUAUUUGGGGUGUUCAGGCUUCCUAAAAGUAAUACCUGGGUAUUAGGUUAUGGGGCUAUGGUAAGGUUUAAGGUUUUUGGCGUUAGGGUUAAAAUCACUGUCCAAAACCUUUGUAGGAACUCUUUUCCAACCUUUUGGAGUUAGUUAGACCAAAAAAAAAUGAAAAAUGAAAAAACAAUAUUUGGGGUUUUCGGGGUUCCUGAAUGUAAUACCCAGGUAUUAGAUUUUAAGGCUAGGGUAAGGUUUAAGUUUUUUGGCAUUAGGGUUAAAAUCACUGUCCAAAACCUUUGUAGGAACUCUUUUCCAACCUUUUGGAGUUGGUUACACCAAAAAAAAUGUAAAAUGAAAAAAAAAAAUAUUUGGGGUGUUCGGGCUUCCUGAAAGUAAUACCCAGGUAUUAGAUUUUAAGGCCAGGGUAAGGUUUAAGUUUUUUGGCGUUAGGGUUAAAAUCACUGUCCAAAACCUUUGUAGGAACACUUUUCCAACCUUUUGGAGUUGGUUAGACCAAAAAAAAAAGAAAAAUGAAAAAAAAAUAUUUGGGGUGUUCAGGCUUCCUAAAAGUAAUACCCAGGUAUUAGGUUAUGGGGCUAUGGUAAGGUUUAAGUUUUUUGGCGUUAGGGUUAAAAUCACUGUCCAAAACCUUUGUAGGAACUCUUUUCCAACCUUUUGGAGUUAGUUAGACAAAAAAAAAUGAAAAAUUAAAAAACAAUAUUUGGGGAUUUCGGGGUUCCUGAAUGUAAUACCCGGGUAUUAGAUUUUGAGGCUAGGGUAAGGUUUAAGUUUUUUGGCAUUAGGGUUAAAAUCACUGUCCAAAACCUUUGUAGGAACUCUUUUCCAACCUUUUGGAGUUGGUUACACCAACAAAAAUGUAAAAUGAAAAACAAAUAUUUGGGGUGUUCCGGCUUCCUGAAGGUAAUACCCGGGUAUUAGGUUUUGGGACUGGGGAAAGGUUUAAGGUUUUUGGCGUUAGGGUUAAAAUCACUGUCCAAAACCUUUGUAGGAACUCUUUUCCAACCUUUUGGAGUUAGUUUGACCGAAAAAAAAAGAAAAAUGAAAAAAUAUAUAUUUGGGGUUUUCGGGCUUCCUGAAUGUAAUACCCGGGUAUUAGAUUUUAAGGCUAGGGUAAGGUUUAAGUUUUUUGGCGUUAGGGUUAAAAUCCCUGUCCAAAACCUUUGUAGGAACACUUUUCCAACCUUUUGGAAUUAGAUAAACCAAAAAAAAAAUGAAAAAUGAAAAAAUAUAUAUUUGGGGUUUUCGGGCUUCCUGAAUGUAAUACCCGGGUAUUAGAUUUUAAGGCUAGGGUAAGGUUUAAGUUUUUUGGCGUUAGGGUUAAAAUCACUGUCCAAAACCUUUGUAGGAACUCUUUUCCAACCUUUUGGAGUUGGUUACACCAACAAAAAUGUAAAAUGAACAAAAAAAUAUUUGGGGUGUUCGGGCUUCCUGAAGGUAAUACCCCGGUAUUAGAUUUUAAGGCUAGGGUAAGGUUUAAGUUUUUUGGCGUUAGGGUUAAAAUCACUGUCCAAAACCUUUGUAGGAACUCUUUUCCAACCUUUUGGAGUUGGUUACACCAAAAAAAAUGAAAAAAGAAAAAAAAAUUAUUGGGGGUUUUCGGGCUCCCUGAAAGUAAUACCCGGGUAUUAGGUUUUGGGACUAGGGAAAGGUUUAAGGUUUUUGGCGUUAGGGUUAAAAUCACUGUCCAAAACCUUUGUAGGAACUCUUUUCCAACCUUUUGGAGUUGGUUACAACAACAAAAAAGUAAAAUGAAAAAAAUAUUUGGGGUGUUUGGGCUUCCUGAAGGUAAUACCCGGGUAUUAGAUUUUAAGGCUAGGGUAAGGUUUAAGUUUUUUGGCGUUAGGGUUACAAUCACUGUCCAAAACCUUUGUAGGAACUCUUUUCCAACCUUUUGGAGUUGGUUACACCAACAAAAACUUAAAAUGAAAAAAAUAUAUAUUUGGGGUGUUCAGGCUUCCUAAAAGUAAUACCCGGGUAUUAGGUUAUGGGGCCAUGGUAAGGUUUAAGGUUUUUGGCGUUAGGGUUAAAAUCACUGUCCAAAACCUUUGUAGGAACUCUUUUCCAACCUUUUGGACUUAGUUAGACCAAAAAAAAUGAAAAAUGAAAAAAAAAUAUUUGGGGUGUUCAGGCUUCCUUAAUGUAAUACCCGGGUAUUAGAUUUUGAGGCUAGGGUAAGGUUUAAGUUUUUUGGCAUUAGGGUUAAAAUCACUGUCCAAAACCUUUGUAGGAACUCUUUUCCAACCUUUUGGAGUUGGUUACACCAACAAAAAUGUAAGAUGAAGAAAAAAAUAUUUUGGGUGUUCAGGCUUCCUGAAGGUAAUACUCGGGUAUUAGAUUUUGAGGCUAGGGUAAGGUUUAAGUUUUUUGGCAUUAGGGUUAAAAUCACUGUCCAAAACCUUUGUAGGAACUCUUUUCCAACCUUUUGGAGUUGGUUACACCAACAAAAAUGUAAAAUGAAAAACAAAUAUUUGGGGUGUUCCGGCUUCCUGAAGGUAAUACCCGGGUAUUAGGUUUUGGGACUGGGGAAAGGUUUAAGGUUUUUGGCGUUAGGGUUAAAAUCACUGUCCAAAACCUUUGUAGGAACUCUUUUCCAACCUUUUGGAGUUAGUUUGACCAAAAAAAAAAGAAAAAUGAAAAAAUAUAUAUUUGGGGUUUUCGGGCUUCAUGAAUGUAAUACCCGGGUAUUAGAUUUUAAGGCUAGAGUAAGGUUUAAGUUUUUUGGCGUUAGGGUUAAAAUCCCUGUCCAAAACCUUUGUAGGAACACUCUUCCAACCUUUUGGAAUUAGAUAAACCAAAAAAAAAUGAAAAAUGAAAAAAUAUAUAUUUGGGGUUUUCGGGCUUCCUGAAUGUAAUACCCGGGUAUUAGAUUUUAAGGCUAGGGUAAGGUUUAAGUUUUUUGGCGUUAGGGUUAAAAUCACUGUCCAAAACCUUUGUAGGAACUCUUUUCCAACCUUUUGGAGUUAGUUAAACCAAAAAAAAAAUGAAAAAUGAAAAAAUAUAUAUUUGGGGUUUUCGGGCUUCCUGAAUGUAAUACCCGGGUAUUAGAUUUUAAGGCUAGGGUAAGGUUUAAGUUUUUUGGCGUUAGGGUUAAAAUCACUGUCCAAAACCUUUGUAGGAACUCUUUUCCAACCUUUUGGAGUUGGUUACACCAACAAAAAUGAAAAAAGAAAAAAAAAUUAUUGGGGGUUUUCGGGCUCCCUGAAAGUAAUACCCGGGUAUUAGGUUUUGGGACUAGGGAAAGGUUUAAGGUUUUUGGCGUUAGGGUUAAAAUCACUGUCCAAAACCUUUGUAGGAACUCUUUUCCAACCUUUUGGAGUUGGUUACAACAACAAAAAAGUAAAAUGAAAAAAAAAUAUUUGGGGUGUUUGGGCUUCCUGAAGGUAAUACCCGGGUAUUAGAUUUUAAGGCUAGGGUAAGGUUUAAGUUUUUUGGCGUUAGGGUUACAAUCACUGUCCAAAACCUUUGUAGGAACUCUUUUCCAACCAUUUGGAGUUGGUUACAACAACAAAAAAGUAAAAUGAAAAAAAAAUAUUUGGGGUGUUUGGGCUUCCUGAAGGUAAUACCCGGGUAUUAGAUUUUAAGGCUAGGGUAAGGUUUAAGUUUUUUGGCGUUAGGGUUACAAUCACUGUCCCAAAACCUUUGUAGGAACUCUUUUCCAACCUUUUGGAGUUAGUUAGACCAAAAAAUAUGAAAAAAGAAAAAAAAAUUUGGGGUGUUCAGGCUUCCUGAAGGUAAUACCCGGGUAUUAGAUUUCAAGGCUAGGGUAAGGUUUAAGGUUUUUGGCGUUAGGGUUAAAAUCACUGUCCAAAACCUUUGUAGGAACUCUUUUCCAACCUUUUGGAGUUGGUUCCACCAAAAAAAAUGUAAAAUGAAAAAAAAAAUAUUUGGGGUGUUCGGGCUUCCUGAAGGUAAUGUAUUAGAUUUUAAGGCUCGGGUAAGGGUUAAGUUUUUUGGCGUUAGGGUUAAAAUCACUGUCCAAAACCUUUGUAGGAACUCUUUACCAACCUUUUGGAGUUAGUUAGACCAAAAAAAAAGAAAAAUGAAAAAAAAAUAUUUGGGGUGUUCAGGCUUCCUAAAAGUAAUACCUGGGUAUUAGGUUAUGGGGCUAUGGUAAGGUUUAAGGUUUUUGGCGUUAGGGUUAAAAUCACUGUCCAAAACCUUUGUAGGAACUCUUUUCCAACCUUUUGGAGUUAGUUAGACCAAAAAAAAAAUGAAAAAUGAAAAAACAAUAUUUGGGGUUUUCGGGGUUCCUGAAUGUAAUACCCGGGUAUUAGAUUUUAAGGCUAGGGUAAGGUUUAAGUUUUUUGGCAUUAGGGUUAAAAUCACUGUCCAAAACCUUUGUAGGAACUCUUUUCCAACCUUUUGGAGUUGGUUACACCAAAAAAAAUGUAAAAUGAAAAAAAAAAAUAUUUGGGGUGUUCGGGCUUCCUGAAAGUAAUACCCAGGUAUUAGAUUUUAAGGCCAGGGUAAGGUUUAAGUUUUUUGGCGUUAGGGUUAAAAUCACUGUCCAAAACCUUUGUAGGAACACUUUUCCAACCUUUUGGAGUUGGUUAGACCAAAAAAAAAAGAAAAAUGAAAAAAAAAUAUUUGGGGUGUUCAGGCUUCCUAAAAGUAAUACCCAGGUAUUAGGUUAUGGGGCUAUGGUAAGGUUUAAGUUUUUUGGCGUUAGGGUUAAAAUCACUGUCCAAAACCUUUGUAGGAACUCUUUUCCAACCUUUUGGAGUUAGUUAGACCAAAAAAAAAUGAAAAAUUAAAAAACAAUAUUUGGGGUUUUCGGGGUUCCUGAAUGUAAUACCCGGGUAUUAGAUUUUGAGGCUAGGGUAAGGUUUAAGUUUUUUGGCAUUAGGGUUAAAAUCACUGUCCAAAACCUUUGUAGGAACUCUUUUCCAACCUUUUGGAGUUGGUUACACCAACAAAAAUGUAAGAUGAAGAAAAAAAUAUUUUGGGUGUUCAGGCUUCCUGAAGGUAAUACCCGGGUAUUAGAUUUCAAGGCUAGGGUAAGGUUUAAGUUUUUUGGCAUUAGGGUUAAAAUCACUGUCCAAAACCUUUGUAGGAACUCUUUUCCAACCUUUUGGAGUUGGUUACACCAACAAAAAUGUAAAAUGAAAAACAAAUAUUUGGGGUGUUCGGGCUUCCUGAAGGUAAUACCCGGGUAUUAGGUUUUGGGACUGGGGAAAGGUUUAAGGUUUUUGGCGUUAGGGUUAAAAUCACUGUCCAAAACCUUUGUAGGAACUCUUUUCCAACCUUUUGGAGUUGGUUACAACAACAAAAAUGUAAAAUGAAAAACAAAUAUUUGGGGUGUUCGGGCUUCCUGAAGGUAAUACCCGGGUAUUAGGUUUUGGGACUGGGGAAAGGUUUAAGGUUUUUGGCGUUAGGGUUAAAAUCACUGUCCAAAACCUUUGUAGGAACUCUUUUCCAACCUUUUGGAGUUAGUUAGACCAAAAAAUAUGAAAAAAGAAAAAAUAUUUGGGGUGUUCAGGCUUCCUGAAGGUAAUACCCGGGUAUUAGAUUUCAAGGCUAGGGUAAGGUUUAAGGUUUUUGGCGUUAGGGUUAAAAUCACUGUCCAAAACCUUUGUAGGAACUCUUUUCCAACCUUUUGGAGUUGGUUACACCAACAAAAAUGUAAAAUGAAGAAAAAAAUAUUUGGGGUGUUCGGGCUUCCUGAAGGUAGCCCGAAGGUAGAUUUUAAGGCUAGGGUAAGGUUUAAGGUUUUUGGCGUUAGGGUUAAAAUCACUGUCCAAAACCUUUGUAGGAACACUUUUCCAACCUUUUGGAGUUAGUUAGACCAAAAAAAAAUGAAAAAAGAAAAAACAAUAUUUGGGGUUUUCGGGGUUCCUGAAUGUAAUACCCGGGUAUUAGAUUUUAAGGCUAGGGUAAGGUUUAAGGUUUUUGGCAUUAGGGUUAAAAUCACUGUCCAAAACCUUUGUAGGAACUCUUUUCCAACCUUUUGGAGUUGGUUACACCAAAAAAAAUGUAAAAUGAAAAACAAAUAUUUGGGGUGUUCGGGCUUCCUGAAGGUAAUACCCGGGUAUUAGGUUUUGGGACUGGGGAAAGGUUUAAGGUUUUUGGCGUUAGGGUUAAAAUCACUGUCCAAAACCUUUGUAGGAACUCUUUUCCAACCUUUUGGAGUUGGUUACACCAACAAAAAUGUAAAAUGAAAAACAAAUAUUUGGGGUGUUCGGGCUUCCUGAAGGUAAUACCCGGGUAUUAGGUUUUGGGACUGGGGAAAGGUUUAAGGUUUUUGGCGUAAGGGUUAAAAUCACUGUCCAAAACCUUUGUAGGAACUCUUUUCCAACCUUUUGGAGUUAGUUAGACCAAAAAAUAUGAAAAAAGAAAAAAAUAUUUGGGGUGUUCAGGCUUCCUGAAGGUAAUACCCGGGUAUUAGAUUUCAAGGCUAGGGUAAGGUUUAAGGUUUUUGGCGUUAGGGUUAAAAUCACUGUCCAAAACCUUUGUAGGAACUCUUUUCCAACCUUUUGGAGUUGGUUACACCAACAAAAAUGUAAAAUGAAGAAAAAAAUAUUUGGGGUGUUCGGGCUUCCUGAAGGUAGCCCGAAGGUAGAUUUUAAGGCUAGGGUAAGGUUUAAGGUUUUUGGCGUUAGGGUUAAAAUCACUGUCCAAAACCUUUGUAGGAACUCUUUUCCAACCUUUUGGAGUUAGUUAGACCAAAAAAAAAUGAAAAAAGAAAAAACAAUAUUUGGGGUUUUCGGGGUUCCUGAAUGUAAUACCCGGGUAUUAGAUUUUAAGGCUAGGGUAAGGUUUAAGGUUUUUGACAUUAGGGUUAAAAUCACUGUCCAAAACCUUUGUAGGAACUCUUUUCCAACCUUUUGGAGUUGGUUACACCAAAAAAAAUGUAAAAUGAAAAAAAAAAUAUUUGGGGUGUUCGGGCUUCCUGAAAGUAAUACCCAGGUAUUAGAUUUUAAGGCUAGUGUAAGGUUUAAGGUUUUUGGCGUUAGGGUUAAAAUCACUGUCCAAAACCUUUGUAGGAACACUUUUCCAACCUUUUGGAGUUGGUUAGACCAAAAAAAAAAGAAAAAUGAAAAAAAAAUAUUUGGGGUGUUCAGGCUUCCUAAAAGUAAUACCCAGGUAUUAGGUUAUGGGGCUAUGGUAAGGUUUAAGUUUUUUGGCGUUAGGGUUAAAAUCACUGUCCAAAACCUUUGUAGGAACACUUUUCCAACCUUUUGGAGUUAGUUAGACCAAAAAAAUGAAAAAAAAAAAAUAUUUGGGGUGUUCAGGCUUCCUAAAAGUAAUACCCAGGGUAUUAGGUUAUGGAGCUAUGGUAAGGUUUAAGUUUUUUGGCGUUAGGGUUAAAAUCACUGUCCAAAACCUUUGUAGGAACUCUUUUCCAACCUUUUGGAGUUAGUUAGACCAAAAAAAAUGAAAAAUUAAAAAAAAAUAUUUGGGGUUUUCGGGGUUCCUGAAUGUAAUACCCGGGUAUUAGAUUUUGAGGCUAGGGUAAGGUUUAAGUUUUUUGGCAUUAGGGUUAAAAUCACUGUCCAAAACCUUUGUAGGAACUCUUUUCCAACCUUUUGGAGUUGGUUACACCAACAAAAAUGUAAGAUGAAGAAAAAAAUAUUUUGGGUGUUCAGGCUUCCUGAAGGUAAUACCCGGGUAUUAGAUUUCAAGGCUAGGGUAAGGUUUAAGGUUUUUGGCGUUAGGGUUAAAAUCACUGUCCAAAACCUUUGUAGGAACUCUUUUCCAACCUUUUGGAGUUAGUUAGACCAAAAAAUAUGAAAAAAGAAAAAAAUAUUUGGGGUGUUCAGGCUUCCUGAAGGUAAUACCCGGGUAUUAGAUUUCAAGGCUAGGGUAAGGUUUAAGUUUUUUGGCAUUAGGGUUAAAAUCACUGUCCAAAACCUUUGUAGGAACUCUUUUCCAACCUUUUGGAGUUGGUUACACCAACAAAAAUGUAAAAUGAAAAACAAAUAUUUGGGGUGUUCGGGCUUCCUGAAGGUAAUACCCGGGUAUUAGGUUUUGGGACUGGGGAAAGGUUUAAGGUUUUUGGCGUUAGGGUUAAAAUCACUGUCCAAAACCUUUGUAGGAACUCUUUUCCAACCUUUUGGAGUUAGUUUGACCGAAAAAAAAAGAAAAAUGAAAAAAUAUAUAUUUGGGGUUUUCGGGCUUCCUGAAUGUAAUACCCGGGUAUUAGGUUAUGGGGCUAGGGUAAGUUUUAAGGUUUUUGGCGUUAGGGUUAAAAUCACUGUCCAAAACCUUUGUAGGAACAUUUCCAACCUUUUGGAGUUAGUUUGACAAAAAAAAAAGAAAAAUGAAAAAAAAAUAUUUGGGGUGUUCAGGCUUCCUAAAAGUAAUAUCCAGGUAUUAGGUUAUGGGGCUAUGGUAAGGUUUAAGGUUUUUGGCGUUAGGGUUAAAAUCACUGUCAUAAACCUUUGUAGGAACUCUUUUCCAACCUUUUGGAGUUGAUUAGACCAAAAAAGAAUGAAAAAUGAAAAAAAAAUAUUUGGGGUGUUCGGGCUUCCUGAAGGUAAUACCUGGGAAUUAGGUUAUGGGGCUAUGGUAAGUUUUAAGGUUUUUGGCGUUAAGGUUAAUAUCACUGUCCAAAACCUUUGUAGGAACUCUUUUCCAACCUUUUGGAGUUGGUUACACCAACAAAAAUGUAAAAUGAAGAAAAAAAUAUUUGGGGUGUUCGGGCUUCCUGAAGGUAGCCCGAAGGUAGAUUUUAAGGCUAGGGUAAGGUUUAAGGUUUUUGGCGUUAGGGUUAAAAUCACUGUCCAAAACCUUUGUAGGAACUCUUUUCCAACCUUUUGGAGUUAGUUAGACCAAAAAAUAUGAAAAAAGAAAAAAAUAUUAUUGGGGGUUUUCGGGCUCCCUGAAAGUAAUACCCGGGUAUUAGGUUUUGGGACUAGGGAAAGGUUUAAGGUUUUUGGCGUUAGGGUUAAAAUCACUGUCCAAAACCUUUGUAGGAACUCUUUUCCAACCUUUUGGAGUUAGUUAGACCAAAAAAAAAGAAAAAUGAAAAAAAAAAUAUUUGGGGUGUUCAGGCUUCCUUAAUGUAAUACCCGGGUAUUAGAUUUUAAUGCCAGGGUAAGGUUUAAAUUUUUAGGGGUUAGGGUUAAAAUCACUGUCCAAAACCUUUGUAGGAACUCUUUUCCAACCUUUUGGAGUUGGUUACACCAACAAAAAUGUAAAAUGAAAAACAAAUAUUUGGGGUGUUCGGGCUUCCUGAAGGUAAUACCCGGGAAUUAGGUUAUGGGGCUAGGGUAAGGUUUAAGGUUUUUGGCGUUAGGGUUAAAAUCACUGUCCAAAACCUUUGUAGGAACUCUUUUCCAACCUUUUGGAGUUAGUUAGACCAAAAAAAAAUGAAAAAUUAAAAAACAAUAUUUGGGGUUUUCGGGGUUCCUGAAUGUAAUACCCGGGUAUUAGAUUUUGAGGCUAGGGUAAGGUUUAAGUUUUUUGGCAUUAGGGUUAAAAUCACUGUCCAAAACCUUUGUAGGAACUCUUUUCCAACCUUUUGGAGUUGGUUACACCAACAAAAAUGUAAAAUGAAGAAAAAAAUAUUUGGGGUGUUCUGGCUUCCUGAAUGUAAUACCCGGGUAUUAGAUUUUAAGGCUAGGGUAAGGUUUAAGUUUUUUGGCGUUAGGGUUAAAAUCACUGUCCAAAACCUUUGUAGGAACUCUUUUCCAACCUUUUGGAGUUAGUUACACCAAAAAAAAAAACUUAAAAUGAAAAAAAAAUAUAUUUGGGGUGUUCAGGCUUCCUAAAAGUAAUACCCGGGUAUUAGGUUAUGGGGCCAUGGUAAGGUUUAAGGUUUUUGGCGUUAGGGUUAAAAUCACUGUCCAAAACCUUUGUAGGAACUCUUUUCCAACCUUUUGGAGUUAGUUAGACCAAAAAAAAUGAAAAAUGAAAAAAAAAUAUUUGGGGUGUUCAGGCUUCCUGAAUGUAAUACCCGGGUAUUAGAUUUUGAGGCUAGGGUAAGGUUUAAGUUUUUUGGCGUUAGGGUUAAAAUCACUGUCCAAAACCUUUGUAGGAACUCUUUUCCAACCUUUUGGAGUUGGUUACACCAACAAAAAUGUAAGAUGAAGAAUAAAAUAUUUUGGGUGUUCAGGCUUCCUGAAGGUAAUACCCGGGUAUUAGAUUUUGAGGCUAGGGUAAGGUUUAAGUUUUUUGGCAUUAGGGUUAAAAUCACUGUCCAAAACCUUUGUAGGAACUCUUUUCCAACCUUUUGGAGUUGGUUACACCAACAAAAAUGAAAAUGAAAAACAAAUAUUUGGGGUGUUCGGGCUUCCUGAAGGUAAUACCCGGGUAUUAGGUUUUGGGGCUGGGUAAGGUUUAAGGUUUUUGGCGUUAGGGUUAAAAUCACUGUCCAAAACCUUUGUAGGAACUCUUUUCCAACCUUUUGGAGUUAGUUAGACCAAAAAAAAAGAAAAAUGAAAAAAAAUAUUUGGGGUUUUCGGGCUUCCUGAAUGUAAUACCCGGGUAUUAGAUUUUAAGGCUAGGGUAAGGUUUAAGUUUUUUGGCGUUAGGGUUAAAAUCACUGUCCAAAACCUUUGUAGGAACUCUUUCCAACCUUUUGGAGUUAGUUAACCAAAAAAAAAUGAAAAAUGAAAAAAUAUAUAUUUGGGGUUUUCGGGCUUCCU